UUUGUAAAAAAUAUUCAAUAACUUUUUAAGAAGAACUUUAUUUAGUAAAAUUUAAGAAAAAUAGAAUUUCUAGAACUGAGAAGGAAGAAAAACAAUAGAAUAAGAAAUAUUUAAAAAAUGUACCUUUUGUAUCAGGGCUUAUUAAAUUGUUUGAAGUAUUUUAAAAUUCCCGAAGAAUAAAUGAGCUAAAGCUUUCUGAAGAUUCUGUUUUAGAAGAAGAAAAAGGUAGCUUUAGAAGUGAAAAGCUAUACGCAUUAUUUGAUAUCUGGUUUCUCAGGAAUAAAAUUUAGUUUUCCUUUGAUGAAAGACAAAUUUAGCUGGGCUAAGCUAGCUAAAAAGUUUCAAGAGGAAGAGAUUGCUUUAAAAGGAAUAAAAUUUUCCUUUGUCUGUUAUAAUAAAAAAGAAAAGAUAAAAAUUUGACUUAAUUAACUGAGAAAAAAAUUAAAAUUUUAGAAGUUUUUAAAUAAUGAUAAGAUUAGUAGUAAAAAGAUUUUGAGAGGAAGAUUUGAAAUUAUCUUUAAGAACUCGACUUUCUUUUCCGGACAGUUUAACAAAAACCUAUUUUUAUGAUGUUAUAUAAAAUGUGCCCUGCCCUAUGCAAAGUAAAUGGCUGCAGUAUUUCUGACUGUACAAAGGUAGCAUAAUAAUUAGUCUUUUAAUUGAGGACUGGAAUGAAAGGGUAAACUGGAAAAGACUUUUUUAAGAUAAAUAAAUAAAGUUGACUUUUUAGUAAGAAGGCUAAAAUGUCCCUUAAAGACAAGAAGACCCUAUAAAACUUUAUAUUUACUAAUUUUAGGAAAGAAAAUAAAUAUUUUGCUGGGGCGGUGGGAAAAAUAACUUUUCUUAACUUCAAAAGACUAUAUGAGUCUUAAUAUCUAAAAUUUUUGAAAGAAGAAUAAGUUACUUUAGGGAUAACAGCUUAAUUCACUUUAAAAGUCCAAAUUGACAAGUGAGUUUAUGACCUCGAUGUUGAAUUAAAAGUCCUAUUUGGUGCAAAAGCCUUAAAAGGAGGUCUGUUCGACCUUUAAACUUUUCCAUGAUUUGAGUUCAAACCGGUGUAAGCCAGGUUGGUUUCUAUCUUAAGGUUGAAAGAAGUAAAUUAGUGCGAAAGGACCAUUUAUUUAAAAAUCUUUUAAUUU
rnacentral:rRNA from 1 species